rnacentral:pre_miRNA from 1 species
CUGUCUGGGCCUCAGGAGGCAGCAUUGACGGUGCCUCAGCCAUGGCCUGGACCCUUCUCCUCCUCGGCCUCCUCGCUUACUGCACAGGUGC